GACGGGACCGCACAAGCGGUGAUGAUGUGGAUUAAUCGAUGCAACGCGAAAAACCUUACCUACCCUUGACAUGUCCGGAAUCCCGAAGAGAUUUGGGAGUGCUCGCAAGAGAGCCGGAACACAGGUGCUGCAUGGCUGUCGUCAGCUCGUGUCGUGAGAUGUUGGGUUAAGUCCCGCAACGAGCGCAACCCUUGUCAUUAGUUGCCAUCAUUUGGUUGGGCACUCUAAUGAGACUGCCGGUGACAAACCGGAGGAAGGUGGGGAUGACGUCAAGUCCUCAUGGCCCUUAUGGGUAGGGCUUCACACGUCAUACAAUGGUCGGUACAGAGGGUUGCCAACCCGCGAGGGGGAGCUAAUCCCACAAAGCCGAUCGUAGUCCGGAUCGCAGUCUGCAACUCGACUGCGUGAAGUCGGAAUCGCUAGUAAUCGUGGAUCAGCAUGUCACGGUGAAUACGUUCCCGGGUCUU
rnacentral:rRNA from 1 species